GAUGAACGCUGGCGGCGUGCCUAAUACAUGCAAGUCGAGCGAACGGACGAGAAGCUUGCUUUUCUGAUGUUAGCGGCGGACGGGUGAGUAACACGUGGAUAACCUACCUAUAAGACUGGGAUAACUUCGGGAAACCGGAGCUAAUACCGGAUAAUAUUUUGAACCGCAUGGUUCAAAAGUGAAAGACGGUCUUGCUGUCACUUAUAGAUGGAUCCGCGCUGCAUUAGCUAGUUGGUAAGGUAACGGCUUACCAAGGCAACGAUGCAUAGCCGACCUGAGAGGGUGAUCGGCCACACUGGAACUGAGACACGGUCCAGACUCCUACGGGAGGCAGCAGUAGGGAAUCUUCCGCAAUGGGCGAAAGCCUGACGGAGCAACGCCGCGUGAGUGAUGAAGGUCUUCGGAUCGUAAAACUCUGUUAUUAGGGAAGAACAUAUGUGUAAGUAACUGUGCACAUCUUGACGGUACCUAAUCAGAAAGCCACGGCUAACUACGUGCCAGCAGCCGCGGUAAUACGUAGGUGGCAAGCGUUAUCCGGAAUUAUUGGGCGUAAAGCGUGCGUAGGCGGUUUUUUAAGUCUGAUGUGAAAGCCCACGGCUCAACCGUGGAGGGUCAUUGGAAACUGGAAAACUUGAGUGCAGAAGAGGAAAGUGGAAUUCCAUGUGUAGCGGUGAAAUGCGCAGAGAUGUGGAGGAACACCAGUGGCGAAGGCGACUUUCUGGUCUGUAACUGACGCUGAUGUGCGAAAGCGUGGGGAUCAAACAGGAUUAGAUACCCUGGUAGUCCACGCCGUAAACGAUGAGUGCUAAGUGUUAGGGGGUUUCCGCCGCUUAGUGCUGCAGCUAACGCAUUGAGCACUCCGCCUGGGGAGUACGACCGCAAGGUUGAAACUCAAAGGAAUUGACGGGGGCCCGCACAAGCGGUGGAGCAUGUGGUUUAAUUCGAAGCAACGCGAAGAACCUUACCAAAUCUUGACAUCCUUUGACAACUCUAGAGAUAGAGCCUUCCCCUUCGGGGGACAAAGUGACAGGUGGUGCAUGGUUGUCGUCAGCUCGUGUCGUGAGAUGUUGGGUUAAGUCCCGCAACGAGCGCAACCCUUAAGCUUAGUUGCCAUCAUUAAGUUGGGCACUCUAAGUUGACUGCCGGUGACAAACCGGAGGAAGGUGGGGAUGACGUCAAAUCAUCAUGCCCCUUAUGAUUUGGGCUACACACGUGCUACAAUGGACAAUACAAAGGGCAGCGAAACCGCGAGGUCAAGCAAAUCCCAUAAAGUUGUUCUCAGUUCGGAUUGUAGUCUGCAACUCGACUACAUGAAGCUGGAAUCGCUAGUAAUCGUAGAUCAGCAUGCUACGGUGAAUACGUUCCCGGGUCU
rnacentral:rRNA from 1 species